AAGGCUUAACAUGAAUGUUGAUUGUAAUCUGACAGCUUUAAGCUAAGUUUAAUUAGUUAAUGCUGCUAUUUGUGAAGCCUAGAAUGUUUUUUCCCUUGCUAUCCAAGGCUGCAUUACAUGUUGCAUUGGACGUUGGGAAACUACUCUU